CGAGCUCCUAUUUUGGUGUCUCGGCCUCACAGCUAUGGCGGAGGAGAGGGAGAAAAUGAGAGACGGAGGCGGCCUCUGGUGCGAUGUGAUCUAUCCGGUGAAGGAGGCGGCCAGCUCUCCGGCCUACAGCUCCGCAGGUGAAGUAGGAAGAGAGAGAGAGAGAGAGAGACGGAGGCGGCCUCUGGUGCGAUGUGAUCUAUCCGGUGAAGGAGGCGGCCGGCUCUCCGGCCUACAGCUCCGCAGGUGAAGUAGGAAGAGAGAGAGAGAGAGAGAGACGGAGGCAGCCUCUGGUGCGAUGUGAUCUAUCCGGUGAAGGAGGCGGCCGGCUCUCCGGCCUACAGCUCCG
rnacentral:lncRNA from 1 species